UGGGGAAUCUUCCGCAAUGGACGAAAGUCUGACGGAGCAACGCCGCGUGAGUGAAGAAGGUUUUCGGAUCGUAAAACUCUGUCUUUUGGGGCGAACGUGAGUAUGGUGAACAAUCAUAGUCAGUGACGGUACCAAAGGAGGAAGCCACGGCUAACUACGUGCCAGCAGCCGCGGUAAUACGUAGGUGGCAAGCGUUGUCCGGAAUUAUUGGGCGUAAAGAGCGCGUAGGCGGGAUAGUCAGUCUGUUGUAAAAGUGCGGGGCUCAACCCCGUGAUGGCAAUGGAAACAGCUAUUCUUGAGUGCAGGAGAGGAAAGUGGAAUUCCCAGUGUAGCGGUGAAAUGCGUAGAUAUUGGGAGGAACACCAGUGGCGAAGGCGACUUUCUGGACUGUAUCUGACGCUGAGGCGCGAAAGCCAGGGGAGCGAACGGGAUUAGAUACCCCGGUAGUCCUGGCCGUAAACGAUGGGUACUAGGUGUGGGAGGUAUCGACCCCCUUCCGUGCCGGAGUUAACGCAAUAAGUACCCCCGCCUGGGGAGUACGGUCGCAAGACUGAAACUCAAAGGAAUUGAC
rnacentral:rRNA from 1 species